GACGGAGGGUGCUAGCGUUGUUCGGAAUUACUGGGCGUAAAGGGCGCGUAGGCGGCCCUGUCAGUCGGGUGUGAAAGCCCGGGGCUCAACCCCGGAACGGCACCCGAGACGGCAGGGCUGGAGACCGGGAGAGGAGGGUGGAAUAGCCAGUGUAGAGGUGAAAUUCGUAGAUAUUGGCUGGAACACCGGUGGCGAAAGCGGCUCUCUGGCCCGGUUCUGACGCUGAGGCACGAAAGCGUGGGGAGCAAACAGG
rnacentral:rRNA from 1 species